AGGCGUUUCUCCUUCAAGAGGCCAGGAUGGGUUUGGUGGAAAUCCCUCUGGAUCGUGCAGGGUGACUGGAAUGAAUGCGGACCCCUGAGUAUUGAAGACCGUGUUUGUAGGAUGCGACUCGACUUCCCUAGUGUGAGCCCCCAGCUGCUACUCCUGCCUGUCAAUCAGUAGCCUGAAUCCUGGCCGAACGCUGGAAUUGCCUGAUGAGCUUUUCAAAUACACCGGCUCCCAGACCGCACCUCCGGAGCGUCUGAUUUAAUUGGUCUGGGGUGGGAACCCAGCGUCGGAUUCUUUAAAACGUUCGCCCGUAGCCAGGGUUCCGAAGCCCUGCUUUAGAUCCACCUGGCUUCACACAGCAAGCGGAGGGACUCGGCUCUGUCAUCCCCUGCUCAGAACCCCAGGCUGCUUCCCCAGGCCUUUUCGGAGUCCAGGGCGAGGUCCCUCCGAGUGCCCGGAUGCUAGCCUGCUCUGGAGUCUUGUUUUUUCCCUUCUCCUCCGACAGGGAGCGGCCGCCAGCAGGAUUGGCGGCUUGUCUUUCCUGAGAACAGCGCGCCUGUUCACACCUCCAUAACUUUGCACACUCUGAUCUUGCAUCUGGAAUGCCCUUUCUCCCCAAGUCUGCAUGCAGGCUGCAAGACCCCCGCCCUCCUCCACCCCAUGUCUUCACCAGUAACUUCUACUCUUCAGCACCCAGGUCGUCAGAAGGCUGGACUGCAGCUCCGCUGGAAGUGCCUUAUUUGUCCUUGUGUAGUUACAAACUGGUGAGGCGUAGGAAGAGGGGAAAUCAAGGAUGGACGUCCCCAACCCAUUUGGGAACCUCAUCUGCACAUCUUGAAUUGAGAGGGUUGGAGCAGAUGUCAGACAACUGGUCUCAAUUUUGCCUCUCAUACCUCUUCCUCAUGCAAGCCCCCGUCACUUGGCUAGACCAAGCCACACAAGAGGACGGACCCUCACCUCUCACCGGUCCUUGAGAUGCCUAGACAAGAAGCUUGGCUGCAGCCACAGCAUUGUUCUCCUCCCAGCCUCCAAAGAACCCAGGGCUCUCAAAGCAAAGUGUUCUUCCUCCCGAUGGGACCAGAUGGGCUGUCCAGAUAGUUUCCAUUUGCCAUCUCAAGUAAAACACCAAGAUGCUACAAAAAGAAGCCUGGCUUUUCCAUCUCGCUCCUCAACUUAGCAUGUGGACCUCAAAUUAUUCCCAGUGCCAAUCCUUUGAGAAAACGAACCGUUGAAAGAGCCAGGGGGGAAGGGAGAAGGAAAAAAAGAACACGUGAGCUCUUUCUAAAGAAAUCUGAAGGGCAGUAGGUGGAGGAAACGACCAUGUUUGCUCCAUCCUCUUGGUGUGAUGGUCAAGGGCACGGGUUUUGCUGAAGCCAGGUGCCCAUCCCAGCUGUCCCUCUUUUAUCCAUGUGACUCUGGGCAGAGCAUUCCACUGCUCUGAGUCUGUUUCCUCGACUCCUAAAAAAAGGAUAAUUAUGCUUACAUUCAAGACUUGCUUUGAAGAUGAAGUGACAUAAUACAUGAAGCAUUUGGGACUCAUAAUCAGUUAUCAGUAGACUUUAGCUGUUAUUAUUUUAUUAUUAUCAACAACUAUAAAGGGGAGAAAGGCAGACUCUUGCUUAGCAGAGCAGGAAACUUUUUAAAAAAUUGCUAGAGCUCGUCAAAGAGGGCAGAACAAUCUUUUGAGAUUAUCAGCAUUCCAGACUUCAGACCUUGAAAUAUCAACAGGAUGACCAUCUCUCAGGGAUGUUGUAGAGGAGAUUCCCACUUUGUGGGUCCUUCUGUGAGGGAUGCCAGAGGAAGGGCAGUGUAUUAAAUCAUCAGAGAUGCCCCUUAGCCACCAGAUACUCUGAAACUGUGCUACUAUUCUAAGAGCUUACCCACAUUCUGAUCUUUGGAGAUAGUUUGGUGUCAUUCCUUCCUUCCUUUCAUCUAUCCAUCGAUCCAUCGAUCCAUCGAUCCAUCCAUCCAUCUACCCAUCUACCCACCUCUCUAUCUACCUACCUACCUACCUGGCUAUCAUCUUAGGAGUUAAACCUGAAAGUUCCGGAUGAUAGCAUUUCUUGGGCUGGUGGAAGAUCCUCUGAGUCUUUAUCUGAUGGAAUUUUGAAUCUUUGUUGAUGCUGAUAAUGCCCAAUUAAGAAGUCAGCUCUUCCUAUCCCUUCAAUCCAUUCCCAUUAGCAUCUUAUUGUCAUGGGAGAACCUGAGCUCUUUGGGCAUAUAGAUCUGGGUUUGAAUCCCUCUUAGCUGGCUGAGUGACCUUCAGUAGGUUAUUUACCUUCUCUGAGCCCUGUUUCCUUAUUUAUCAGGAAAUGAUAUCCAUAUAUGAGUGGUGUGGUUUGGGGGAGGUUUAGCGAUAAUGUCUGCAUAGUACCUAGCACAAUAUCUGACAGAGCUGGGAUACAGGACCUGGAAAUUACAACAAUAAACACUAUAAUAGUAAAAAUACUUAUUUGUAUUGUUAGUACUAUUUAUUCCUUUUUUAAAAACUAUAAAAAGAGCUAUUUCAUUUGAAACAGUCAGCCACAGAGAAAGACUAUCCUGCAGUGAGUAGGGGAGAAAAACACCACAGUGGGAUGAGAAAGAUUUGAUCUGUAGAAGUUUGGGGCUGUGUGUGUGAUUUUUAUAAGAUUGGCAGCCGUAAAAAGAACUUACAAGAGUAGCUAUCAGGGGAGAAACUGAUCACAAAGCUUAGCGUAAGCAAGAAUUAUGCUUUUCUUCUGUGCUCCAGGAACGCUGCACCCUCUGGGGGCUGGUUUUCAUUCACAAUCUUAGUAACUCCGGAGCUGCAGACAGCCAACCUUGCAUUGAUGGGAGCCCUGCAGGGGAGCGAGGCCACCCGGAUAACCAGGGACCACAGUUACGCCUAUUGUUACUACUCUCCACGGAGUGCGUGUGUUUGUGUGUGUGUGUCAUCGUGCUAGGAUGAUUCCAGCCCUUUGCGGGACACGGUGGCGAGAUGCAGAAUUCUCAGCACAUAACCACUCUGUUCAAACAUGGCUUCUAGCAGCAGAAGACCACGUCCCUAGGAUGCCCCCAGAUCCCAUUAAAAGGCCUGCCUGAGAAAGCUCAGUACUGCCAGGAAAGUUACUGUGUGUUCCAGCCAACACCUGACACAGGCCCCUGACCUCCCUUUCUUAGACCAUUUACUAAAAAGGUCUUAUGAUGGUGAACAUGUAUCUCUUACAGCUCACGUGUUUUUCUCAAGGACCUGAGAGCCUUUCGUUUCCAAAGGGAUAGGCCUCCCAGUCUCUGUGGGAGGAUGGAAUUCUAAAUUUGAUAACUCCCAGCUAGCAGACACAGCUGACCUAACUGCAUUCACGCUGACCAAUCCUUUGCAAGCUUUCUCUUCUCUGACUCAGCUGAGCCCCUGCUCUCCCCCUCCCUCAUUCUCCCUUUAAAAUGCCCAGAUCCCCUCUGCACAAAUUGGAAUGGAGCUCAGCUUUUCCCCCUGCUGUCAGCAGUUACUGAAUAAAAUCUGUUUUCAUUGCAUUAAUUAAUGUCUGGCCAUGUUUGUCUUUGACAGAGGAAAGGCUUUCCCAGGGCAAGGUGGAUGUAUUUGUCUGGUCACUGGCAGAGGGUCAAGGGAUGUUUCUCUCCUUCCUCCCAAACAAGAGACUGCGCCAGGUCAUUGUUAUAGCGCCUAGAUAUUGAGACCACGGGCAUAAAAUGGGAAUAAUAAUAAUAAUAAUACCUGCCUAAUGAAGUUGUCUUGAGGAUUAAUUAAGUUAAUGGAGUUAAUUGACUUGGAGAAACAGAGCAUUCC
ensembl:lncRNA